rnacentral:rRNA from 1 species
ACUCAAAUGAAUUGACGGGGGCCCGCACAAGCGGCGGAGCAUGCGGAUUAAUUCGAUGCAACGCGAAGAACCUUACCAAGGCUUGACAUGAACCGGAAUGAUGCAGAGAUGUGUCAGCCACUUGUGGCCGGUUUACAGGUGGUGCAUGGUUGUCGUCAGCUCGUGUCGUGAGAUGUUGGGUUAAGUCCCGCAACGAGCGCAACCCUCGUUCCAUGUUGCCAGCGGGUUAUGCCGGGGACUCAUGGGAGACUGCCGGGGUCAACUCGGAGGAAGGUGGGGACGACGUCAAAUCAUCAUGCCCCUUAUGUCUUGGGCUUCACGCAUGCUACAAUGGCCGGUACAAAGGGUUGCGAUACUGUGAGGUGGAGCUAAUCCCAAAAAGCCGGUCUCAGUUCGGAUUGAGGUCUGCAACUCGACCUCAUGAAGUUGGAGUCGCUAGUAAUCGCAGAUCAGCAACGCUGCGGUGAAUACGUUCCCGGGCCUUGCACACACCGCCCGU